UCCCACUGCACUGCCUUCCAGCACUGAAAGCUAAGCCCGGGAUCAAAAGGUCUCUACGCCCUGGUCUGGCCUCGCUGUCCCCAAGCCUCGAGCCCCUCGGUGACAUCCCUGGUGGGCACCUGCCCUCUGUCCAGCCCAGAGCAGUCAGGACUUGGAGCCCAGCUCUUCAGUUAACUUGACACACUGCAUCUCCUUCCCAGGACCACCUAGGAGCCUGCUUUUAAGAUGACACUGUCAAGUCUUCCCACAGCUCUCCACGGGGCCCAGAGACAAGCUGGAUGAACCUUGGUCACAAGUCCGGGCCCAGCAUCAUCCCAGAUUGUAACAUCAAAGAUGAGGACUUUGUUGUUGCUGUUUCAGAUGCCACUGACACCUUGAAGAAGGUGACCGUGAGUCUCGUUGGCACAAUUUGAUGUUUUAUUCAGAUCUCAUUGUGCCUAAACAGAGAGUGAGAGUUCUUUAUUCGCUGGACAUGUGAAGAAGGCCACUAGGGCUCCCCUCAGAAGCAAAGUUCACAGGACUUCUGAAUUCCAACCAUGGACCUCUCGGCGGGGGUCCACACACCCCAGAUUAAGAACAAAUAUAGUUCUUGUAAGCCAACAAUUUACUGUAUUAAUGGCCUGCCUUUUCUUUAAAGAAGCCACCUCCCGGCCGGGCGCGGUGGCUCACGCCUGUAAUCCCAGCACUUUGGGAGGCUGAGGCCGGCGGAUCACGAGGUCAGGAGAUCGAGACCAUCCUGGCUAACACGGUGAAACCCCGUCUCUACUAAAAAUACCAAAAAUUAGCCGGGCGUGGUGUCGGGCGCCUGUAGUCCCAGCUACUCGGGAGGCUGAGGCAGGAGAAUGGCGUGAACCUGAGAGGCAGAGGUCGCAGUGAGCCAAGACCACACCACUGCACUCCAGCCUGGGCGACAGAGCGAGACUUCAUCUCAAAAAAAAAAAAAAAAAAAAGAAGCCACCUCCCAUCAGAGUAUAACACACACAAGCCUACGUCCUCCCGUGAAGGCCCGUGGAGGCCAUUUUGGAACUCUACCCUCCUCCGUCUUUGUCCCAUUGGGGCAUCCAGCUCCCAAAUCUUGAGAACACUUCUCCACCUCACACCAACCUGACCAACUGGAAAUCCCCAGGAUGUGACAGCAGAGUUAAAAGCACAUUGCUCACAUCUAUAAUCCCUUCUGAAAUAACUGUGGAGCCUGGAAAUUCCAAAACUUCCUAAUCCUUGUAAAUACCGCAUGUCCUGGCCCACACGUAGAAAUGGAUCAAAGAUCAAUGAGAAAAUAACCAAGAUCAUUAACACCAUGUAAGGAUUCAGCCUCUCAAAUUGCCACCCUUUCUCCACAAUUCUUCUACCAUUUCAUAUCUGGAAGGAGCCACCUGGAUGCACCUCUGGAAGGAGCCACCUGGGCCUGGAAUGUGAAGAACCCACUUUGAAGAACUAGCACUGAUGUAGAAAACAUUCUUAUGUUUGGAAGAGGAAGAGAAAAGCGAUUCAUAGACCAAGAGCGACUCUUCUUCAGAUCCACUCCACACAGAUAUUUUUCCAGUUCCUAUGUUAGUGCGGCCCACACACCAUUUUGCCUCUUUGUGGGGGAAUAUAAGAUGCAUUCUUCCUUUAAGCUAUUUACUAUGGCUAAAAUGAUACUCAGCCCUCCAGAUGUUUAUAUAACAGAGAGCCAAAGAGCGAGAGACAAAAGGAGAACAGUUCUGCAACAGAGACACUGAGGGCUCCAUUCAUUGGGAAAGACCCGCUGACUUCCACGUUCGGCCCAGCUGUUUGUUCCAAAGUCACCCGGACUGUUGAAGGCUGUUGCCCCCCUGCUGCAUGGGCCCCAGCAGGAGAAAUCCGAACAGAAGGAGAGUGAGUGGCUGUGGUCUUCUCUGCGGCCUUCACUGCUUGCAAGGCCACAGAAGGGACAAUCUUGAGUCUGAGGUCACUCAAAGUUCUGACUUUGCUUCAGCCCUGUCUCUCCGACGGUCAUGACCCUAUUUCUCUCCCCAGUCCAGGCCACAUUUUCUGAAGAAUGGAGACCCUCACUCUCCUAGUGUUACAGAAGCCCAGGCAGAGGCCCCAGCAGGGUAAAAGCAACCUGAAGCCUCUUCUGGCUUCCUUUUCUGGCGCUCUCUGUUCAGGGCGAGGGGAGUUAUUGUGUCAAAGCUCACUUAUCAGUCUGCCCAUCUGAUAGGUGGAAAUUAAACAUAGGCGGGCACCUUCUGAGAAAAUGAAAGUGGUACUCCAAUCCCUGCCUUAUAAACACAGCCCACGCUUAGACCUCGCACACAAGGUUAUUGCUAGGGUAGCAGCAUUCCAUCUUCUGGCCACUUAAGAGGGACUUCCCAGCCAGUAUUUCACAUGUAUAUGUACAAUCACAUACCUGCACACACUCACACACCAGCACAUGCUCACAACUCCGUACACACUCACAUAUGGACACACUUACAACUCUACACACUCACAACCCUGCACAUUGGCCUGUGUAUACUCACAUGCCUGUACACACACUCUCACUUGCACACACACCCCGGGCACACACACAGACUGUGGAAUAACAAUCCCUUCCAAGAAAAACCCUCCAUAGUUUCCAAUCCAAUAACUUCUAACCAGGGACUCCCAACUUGAAAAUAUCCCGUCCUGUUCCCACUUCCAUGGUCCGCUGUUUUCACACCUAGGACCCUUUGGUAGGCCUUCCUGAGAGAGAAACCUAAGAAGUCCUGAGAACCACUUCACAGCACCACAGUUCUUGACCCUUCAGCUGCCCCGGGGUCUGCUUGCUCUUGGAAUCCUGCCGGACCUGGCAUCCUGGACCACCUACUCGCUCCUGCAUCUCUUUCCCCAGUGCCCACCUCCUUCUUGACAACAUCCACGGGCUCCAGUUGCCCUGGUCCUGGAAUGCUGUCUUGCUCUUGCUCUUCCCAAGGCCUGGCGUCCCAUCCCUGCAGCUGACAGACGUCCCCAAGGCCAGCCACCUGCCUGCGUCUCUGAAUAGUGCCUGCUUCCAUGGCCUGCCUCCGAGGGCAAGUCAGUCCUGUCAUCAGGACCCGCUGUCACCUCUUGCUGGACUUCCCCAGCCCCAUCGGUUGCCUGGGUGACUGCUAGUUGCCUAGCACCGUAUUUAAACAGCCAGAUGGGUUUCCUGUCAUUGGCCAUCCUGGGUCUAUCUCGACCCUUCAACACCUGGACCGCCAGGUUCCAUCUCCCAGGCUACCCCGGCUCCCAUCCCUGCAUCCAUCUGUGUCAGGAGAUAAAAUUCUUAGAUAAAAAAAAAACAGUAAGAUAAUCCAUUCUAAGAACCCUCUUGGCUAUGUGUAAUAACACUGAUGUAUAAUUUCAAACAAGCAAUGCCACCUACCAAGAAAUGGGUCACAAAAUGUGCUUCUGAUCUCCUUUUACAGCUUGGCAUUCUUUUGCUGGCAUUCGACUAUAACACAGCUAAUUGGCUUCAUGACAAACUAGAUGUUACAAAAGGCACACGAGGCACUCCUAAUAAAAUUUUUUAAAUUCCAACUUCUUAGUUAAGCAAAUUAAGAAAAUAUUUUAAAUCAAUUUAAUGAUGUUCAAAGAAGUAGCAAGCAAUACUAAAAUGAUAUCACAUCACAAAAUAGAAACUAGCCACUAAAAAUAAACUUUUCUUCAAUUAGGAGAAAAGUAUAUAUAUAUCCAUUGACCCUUGAAUAACACAGCUUUGAACUACACAGUUACACUUACAUGCAGAUUUUUUUUCAACCAAACAAGGAUUGAAAAUACAGCAUUCGAGGGAUAUGAAACCCACUUAUAUAUGGAGGGUCAAGUUUUCAUAUAACACAGAUUUUUCGUAUAACACAGCAGGGCUGACUGUGGGACUCAAGGUGUGCAGAUUUGGGUAUAUGUGUGUGCCCUGGCCAAUCCCCAACAUAUACCAAUGGGUGACUAUAUAUGUACAAAAUAGAAAAAACAAAGCUAUCAAUAGCUUCUACAAGAAGAUGUUUGGCUUACCGAUCCAUUUCUGUAAAUCUGAGCUAUUUUCUGACGCUGAUGGUGC
rnacentral:lncRNA from 10 species